rnacentral:lncRNA from 10 species
AAAUUGCAACGUCAUGACUUGUGGCGUUAUUAAAACUUCCUGUAUUCCUGGUUGGCUGGAUAUAAUCUUGAACAAAAGGCAUGCACUUAAACAGGAAAGGUGAAAGGCGGAAUGCAGGUUUUCAGCUAAGGAGCUUCCCUUUUAAAGAAUUGAUGAAGUGUCAUUAUUGGGGGUGGGUGUGAAAGGUGUUAGCUAGGAAAAUUAACUUUGCACUUGCAUUGAUAUUAAGAAAUUAUUUUCGGACGGGCGCGGUGGCUCACGCCUGUAAUCCCAGCACUUUGGGAGGCCGAGGCGGGCGGAUCACCUGAGGUCAGGAGUUCGAGACCAGCCUGGCCAACCUGCUUAGCCUGCGACGCUUAUGAUUAGAGCCAACAAUUUGAAAUGGCCUGCUCACCUGAUGCAGUCGUCUCUC